rnacentral:rRNA from 1 species
GAUGAACGCUAGCGAUAGGCUUAACACAUGCAAGUCGAGGGGCAGCAUGGUCUUAGCUUGCUAAGACUGAUGGCGACCGGCGCACGGGUGCGUAACGCGUAUGCAACUUGCCUCACAGAGGGGGAUAACCCGUCGAAAGACGGACUAAUACCGCGUACACUUGGGAUAGGGCAUCCUGACCCAAGGAAAUGAAAUUCGCUGUGAGAUAGGCAUGCGUCCCAUUAGCUAGUUGGUGAGGUAACGGCUCACCAAGGCGACGAUGGGUAGGGGAACUGAGAGGGUGAACCCCCACACUGGUACUGAGACACGGACCAGACUCCUACGGGAGGCAGCAGUGAGGAAUAUUGGUCAAUGGGCGAGAGCCUGAACCAGCCAAGUCGCGUGAAGGAUGACUGUCUUAUGGAUUGUAAACUUCUUUUAUACGGGAAUAACAAGAGUCACGUGUGGCUCCCUGCAUGUACCGUAUGAAUAAGCAUCGGCUAACUCCGUG